rnacentral:lncRNA from 1 species
UAUUUAUUUUUCUUUCUCUUUUUCUUUUUCUUUUUCUUUUAUUUUUUAAAAUAAAACCAACACAAUGAUGUACAGGAAGAUAAAAUGAUGGCUGUUUUUCAUUAGUUGUAUUUUCUCCAGCAGCAUUUCCUUGAAGUACAUUGAAAACAGAGUGCUGCUGCCAGAGUCACAUGGAAUAGGAAAAAAAGAUCCUGGCCCACAUUGUGGUAAUGCUCUUUGUAGAGUAAAAUAACUUAGUCUUUUGCAGUAAGAUUCCCUAAACUGCAAAUAACAUCUGUGUUGGUGAGGCUGUGUUUUAAUGUAAACUUUUGGUUUUGGGUGUGAGAUGAGGACAUGCUUGCCCUUGCCCAUACUUUCUGGACAUGUUCAUAGAGAUGAGGAAGUCAUUGUCUUUUCUGAUGAAACUUGCAGAAUAUGGUCACUUCCUUCCCCAAGAAGAACCUUAGCCAUGGAGUACUGAGAUACUCGGAGGGAGGGUCUUUUCCAGGGAGAUCAAGUCAACCCUUUGUAAAUCAAUCUGGAGCUACUAAGAGCCACAGGCUGCCUAAUACCAGCUCCUGAGACUGGGGUGGCCAAACCAAGGACCAGCU